UUUCAACCAAUCUCUUUCAUAGACGUUCCCAAUGACAUCUUCCAAAUAUGCACUGCAUAGCAUAAUUAAAAUUAAAGUUGAAUAAAUCAAAAUAAAAUUGUAGUAUUUAAACCAAUAAUAAAAAAUCAUCUUUCUAACCUUGAUUCGUUCUCCGCUAUCCAGUUUCUAAGAGUCGAGUAUUUUUGCAUAGAAUAGUCUUCCAAAUGACGUCUUCUAGACAACGAAAGUUGUAUUUGUUUUCCCUUCUUUUUCUUCUCUCGUUGUGAUAUUUCAGAACUUUCGACUUGUUGAGACGUUGAUACAUCCUUCGGUCGAUCAUCGAAAAUUGGACAUGUACCAAUAGGAAUGUCUUAUU
rnacentral:lncRNA from 1 species